rnacentral:rRNA from 1 species
CCUACGGGAGGCAGCAGUGGGGAAUAUUGCACAAUGGGCGCAAGCCUGAUGCAGCGACGCCGCGUGAGGGAUGACGGCCUUCGGGUUGUAAACCUCUUUCAGCAGGGACGAAGCGCAAGUGACGGUACCUGCAGAAGAAGCACCGGCCAACUACGUGCCAGCAGCCGCGGUAAUACGUAGGGUGCAAGCGUUGUCCGGAAUUACUGGGCGUAAAGAGCUCGUAGGCGGUUUGUCGCGUCGUCUGUGAAAACCAGCAGCUCAACUGUUGGCUUGCAGGCGAUACGGGCAGACUUGAGUAUUUCAGGGGAGACUGGAAUUCCUGGUGUAGCGGUGAAAUGCGCAGAUAUCAGGAGGAACACCGGUGGCGAAGGCGGGUCUCUGGGAAAUAACUGACGCUGAGGAGCGAAAGCGUGGGUAGCGAACAGGAUUAGAUACCCUGGUAGUCCACGCCGUAAACGGUGGGCGCUAGGUGUGGGUUUCCUUCCACGGGAUCCGUGCCGUAGCUAACGCAUUAAGCGCCCCGCUGGGGAUCGGCCGCAAGGCUAAAACGUCAAAAGAGUAGUGGACGUGNGAGACGCGACGACGACGACGACGGAGGAGGAGG